rnacentral:lncRNA from 1 species
AGAGCUGUGGAUUAGUAAAGAAUGUAGAGGUCAGGUCACGUCACGUUAAGGCAGAAGGAACAGUGUGUUGCCCGCAUUACUUAACUUCCCGUCUAGUGAUAAAGACGUAAUGUUUAGAGAGAAGGAGGAGACUUUGUCUUAUGCAGCUGUAUUGACCCAAUGGGUGAAUAAACUUGGUUUAAGCUUUACUAAUCACCUGUGAGUUUUACUAACAAAACAGUCGUCAAUUCAGGAAGUACACUGAAAUUCUAACUCAAAUUCUUCUUCGUUGCGUUUCAAUGAGCGGAAUUUGGUUUUCUUUCUCAAUUGACUGGAAUUGAAAUGGAAUUAAUCCCAACCCUGCUAAGGAAACAAGGACAGGGGAUGCAAGGACUUAGUAGUAGUAGUAGUAGUAGUAGUAGUAGUAGUAGUAGUAGUAGUAGGCUCUGUGAGUCUCUGGGCUUUGUGGAGACAUACAGGUGGUGUGAUGUGGUCCAAAAUGUUUUCGGGGGGGGGGCUUCCAUGCUCUCUCUUUCUCCCCCUUUCCUGUCCUCCCUCAGUUCCCCAGGUUUAUACUAUACCACCCAGGAUCAACUCUUGAGUUGAUGAUUCUGUAUGAGGUAGAAAUGCAAGACACUGUAAGACAUUAAAUCAUCUGGAUGUUGUGGAGCAAACUGGCUAGAUAUUCUGUAGUGAAGUAAUGUUAACGUUGACAAAGAAAAUGGUAUUUGUUAUUAAAAGAAGGAGUGGGCUAGUGAGAAUGACAAUGUUGGUUUUUAUGGUAAUUCCCUGUAGUAACUGUUAUUAACUGUUGUAAGGAAAACACAAUAUGACAAUGACAGAAUUCUGUAUGUGGCACAAUAAAGUUCUCUAUUAUGAAUUUAAAUUUUUAUAAAAAAAAUACAUUUUAGGUGGAUGUCCUUCAGCAUGAUCCUUUAGUUUCAUUUCCUGUAGAAUGUCUGCUUAUUAUGACCUCACUACAUGGCAACACUCCACUACCACGGAAUAGGGAACUGUCUUGUUUCACAAUGACAUUUAAUCACUCCAGGGUUGUGAAACCAAACAUCAGCUGUUAACAUUAUGUCUGACUCUCGCCCCCCUUCAUUGACUCUCACUUUUGCUCUCUCCCCCUUGUUGUCUCUCUCUCACUCUCUCACUCUCUCACACUUUUGCUCUCUCUCUCUCUCUCUCUCUCUCUCUCUC